rnacentral:rRNA from 1 species
GACGAACGCUGGCGGCGUGCUUAACACAUGCAAGUCGAACGGAAAGGCCCUGCUUUUGUGGGGUGCUCGAGUGGCGAAGGGGUGAGUAACACGUGAGUAACCUGCCCUUGACUUUGGGAUAACUUCAGGAAACUGGGGCUAAUACCGGAUAGGAGCUCCUGCUGCAUGGUGGGGGUUGGAAAGUUUCGGCGGUUGUGGAUGGACUCGCGGGUUAUCAGCUUGAUGGUGGGGUAGUGGCAUACCAAGGCAUUGACGGGUAGCCGGCCUGAGAGGGUGACCGGCCACAUUGGAACUAAGAUACGGCCCAGACUCCUACGGGAGGCAGCAGUGGGGAAUAUUGCACAAUGGGCGGAAGCCUGAUGCAGCAACGCCGCGUGCGGGAUGACGGCCUUCGGGUUGUAAACCGCUUUCGCCUGUGACGAAGCGUGAGUGACGGUAAUGGGUAAAGAAGCACCGGCUAACUACGUG